rnacentral:rRNA from 1 species
CACGCAGGCGGCUGGGCAAGUCUGACGUGAAAGCUCCCGGCUAAACUGGGAGAGGUCGUUGGAAACUGCUUGGCUUGAGGUAAUGAGAGGGGUGCGGAAUUCCCGGUGUAGUGGUGGAAUGCGUAGAUAUCGGGAGGAACACCAGUGGCGAAAGCGGCACCCUAGCAUUGACCUGACGCUCAUGUGCGAAAGCGUGGGGAGCGAACG